rnacentral:SRP_RNA from 1 species
GCCAGGUGCAGUGGUGCGUGUCUGUAGUCCCAGCUAAUCAGGAGGCUGAGGCUGGAGGAUCACUUGAGCCCAAGAAUUCUGGCCUGUAGUUCACUAUGCGGAUCAGGUGUCCACACUAAGUUCGGCAUCAAUAUGGUGACCUCUUGGGAUCGGGGAAUCACCGGGUUGCCUAAGGAGGGGUGAACUGGCCCAAGUCGGAAACGGAGAAGGUCAAAACUCCCGUGCUGAUCAGUAGUUGGAUUGUGCCUGUGAAAAGCCACUGCACUCCAGCCUGGCCAAUAUAGGGAGACCCCGUCUCU